rnacentral:rRNA from 1 species
GUCUAUGGCCACACCACCCGGAACACACCCGGAUUUCAUCUGAUCUUGGGAGCUAAGCAGUCAGGCCUGGUUAGUGCUUUGAUGGUGUUUGCUUAGCAUGUAGGAAGCCUUUGGCU